AGAGUUUGAUCAUGGCUCAGGAUGAACGCUGGCGGCAUGGAUAAGGCAUGCAAGUCGAAUGGGUUUAGACCCAUGGCAAACGGGUUAGUAAUGCGUAGGAACGUACCCUCGAGUCGUGGAUAACCUGGAGAAAUCCAGGAUAAUACACGAUGUCCUCUACGGAGGAAAGAUUUAUCGCUCGAGGAGCGGCCUGCGUCCUAUCAGCUUGUUGGUAAGGUAAAAGCUUACCAAGGCUAUGACGGGUAGGGGGUGUGAGAGCAUGGCCCCCAACAUUGGCACUGAGACACUGGCCAAACACCUACGGGUGGCUGCAGUCGAGAAUAUUCCGCAAUGGGCGAAAGCCUGACGGAGCGAUGCCGCGUGCAAGAUGAAGGCCUUAGGGUCGUAAAUUGCUUUUCUAGAGGAGCAAUUCGUGAGAGUACUCUAGAAAUAAGAGGUUACUAACUCUGUGCCAGCAGUAGCGGUAAUACAGAGACCUCAAGCGUUAUCCGGAUUUAUUGGGCGUAAAGCGUGUGUAGGCGGACAUAUUAGUCAGAUGUUAAAUCACUGGGCUCAACCUGGUGGCUGCAUUUGAAACGGUAUGUCUAGAGAGAGUGAGGGAUCAGUGGAACUCAUGGUGUAGUAGUGAAAUGCGUUGAUAUCAUGGGGAACACCAAAGGCGAAGGCAUCUGAUUGGCACUCUUCUGACGCUCAGACACGAAAGCGUGGGUAGCGAAUGGGAUUAGAUACCCCAGUAGUCCACGCCGUAAACGA
rnacentral:rRNA from 1 species